rnacentral:ncRNA from 1 species
GCGUAUGGAAGCUUAAGGUCAUUCCCUGCAUUCCGUUUUUUUGGUGGAACCAAUUCACUUGAGUGAGACAGAGGAGAGUGGAAUUUCGGGUGUAGGGGUGAAAUCCGUAGAUCUACGAAGGAACGCCAAAAGCGAAGGCAACUCUCUGGGUCCCUACCGACGCUGGGGUGCGAAAGCAUGGGGAGCGAACAGGAUUAGAUACCCUGGUAGUCCAUGCCGUAAACAAUGAGUGUUCC